UGAUCCCCUGCUCUUCGAUUGGGGUCAUGUAACAGCUGCAUUCAUGUUUAAUGGCGGCGCCCAUGGCGAUGAAUUGUGGUCGGAUUAACCGGUUUGAUAUAAAAUUCAAAGUGUGGUUGUUUUGAGAAAAUGGAUAGAAUUCCUUCCUUCCUUCCUGCUACCAAUCUUGUCUCGGAUGUCUCCAAAAAGAGGUGUAGGGAAUUAAGUUCCCCAAGUGGGAAAACACCUCUGCAAGAGUGUAAAAGACAGCCUGCUUGUGGCAAAUGUGUAGGAGUAGAUGUACAAGAGUUAGAUCCCUGUUUGGCGAGACCAAAUCAGAAACUGUUUCUUAUCAAUCUGGGACACACGUUUCUGUAGAAACACAGACAGAACCAGUCAUACCCUUGUUGCAGAAAAGGUCCUACACUUGUACAGUUCCUCUUUAUGAUUCCAAUGACAUUUGUCUUCCGGAAGGAGUAGACAGUGGAACCAAAGCUGUUCUUUCAAAAAUUAAAGAAACGUUUCAAGUUCCACAGGCAUCAGGAUCACCUGAGAGUUUGUCUGCGCUUUUAACUGCAGUUAUAAGUGGUGAUUUAGAUGCUAUAUCCAAAGCUGUUUUCCAGCAUACAGACCUGAGAAGCUUGAUGGAAAAGCUUUUUCAGCAAGAAAUCCAAACACAGGUGUCCACUAAAUGUCGAAGGUCACCUGACAGUUGCCUUUUCCCAAAGGAUUAUAGUGCACUUCUGAACUUUUCGGUUGGUGAUGUUGUAGAAGAAUUCUCUAGAACAAUGCCUUUCCUUUUCCAGUGCUUACUGUCUGUGGUUGUUUCAAACUCCAUGUUGUUCCGAAUCACUCUCAACAAAAUUCAAUGCAUUGUUCCUAAGUUAGCCAUGGUAUAUCGCAUUCUCAUGUCUUUGCGCUUUCAAUCGAAGAGCAGGGGAUCAUGGGACAAGACUAAGACAUACCCCUUUGAAUUUGGGGCGUUUUCGCACGCGAAAGGAGCUGAUUUUUUUAUCAGAUGAAAAACAAUGUGUAACUGUAAGACAAUAAAGAUAUCUAUCCCAGUUUUGUAAUAAUGCGAGGUCGUUUGAAUUUUU